rnacentral:rRNA from 1 species
CGGCUGUCUACGUCCGGGGUGAAAGCCCUGGGCUCAACCUGGGAAUUGCAUUGGAUACUGGCGGGCUGGAGUGCGGUAGAGGAUGGCGGAAUUCCCGGUGUAGCAGUGAAAUGCGUAGAGAUCGGGAGGAACAUCCGUGGCGAAGGCGGCCAUCUGGACCAGCACUGACACUGAGGCACGAAAGCGUGGGGAGCAAACA